rnacentral:rRNA from 1 species
AGGCAGCAGUCGGGAAUAUUGCGCAAUGGAGGAAACUCUGACGCAGUGACGCCGCGUAUAGGAAGAAGUUUUUCGGAAUGUAAACUAUUGUCGUUAGGGAAGAGAAAGGACAGUACCUAAGGAGGAAGCUCCGGCUAACUACGUGCC